ACUUGGCUGACUCAGUCGGUAGAGCAUGAGACUGUUGAUCUCAGGGUUGUGAGUUCAAGCCUCACGUUAGGUG